GAUGAACGCCGGCGGUGUGCCUAAUACAUGCAAGUCGAACGCGUUGGCCCAACUGAUUGAACGUGCUUGCACGGACUUGACGUUGGUUUACCAGCGAGUGGCGGACGGGUGAGUAACACGUAGGUAACCUGCCCCAAAGAGGGGGAUAACAUCCGGAAACGGGUGCUAAUACCGCAUAGUUUUCUUGAUCGCAUGAUUGAGAAAGGAAGACGGCCUUUG
rnacentral:rRNA from 1 species